CUAUGAAUGGAAAGGAAAGAUCGAGGAAGAUAGUGAGGUGCUGAUGGUGAGAAAACUCCCCUCCUGCCCGGCUCCUUUGACAACUCUGGCUCUCUUUCACCUGACACCAGGUUGAACUGUGUCUGUCUUUGCCCUUUAGAUGAUUAAAACACAAAGCUCCCUGGUCCCUGCUCUGACAGAGUUUGUCCGAUCUGUGCACCCUUAUGAAGUUGCCGAGGUGAUCGCACUGCCCGUGGAGCAGGGGAAUCCCCCGUAUCUGCACUGGGUGCACCAGGUCACGGAAUCAGUGUCAGGCUCUGGCAAGGCCCUACCAUGACAAGCCCUGUUCCCGCCACAGCUUCCUCUGCUCAAUGCUCUUGGGCUUCCACAUGAUGACUGAGCCCCUAAUAAAUCCUCUCCUGCUCUC
rnacentral:lncRNA from 1 species